rnacentral:rRNA from 1 species
CGAUGAUGCCCAGCUUGCUGGGCGGAUUAGUGGCGAACGGGUGAGUAAUACGUGAGUAACCUGCCCCUGACUCUGGGAUAAGCCUGGGAAACCGGGUCUAAUACUGGAUACGACCUCCUGCCGCAUGGUGGGGGGUGGAAAGGGUUCACUGGUUUUGGAUGGGCUCACGGCCUAUCAGCUUGUUGGUGGGGUAAUGGCUCACCAAGGCGACGACGGGUAGCCGGCCUGAGAGGGUGACCGGCCACACUGGGACUGAGACACGGCCCAGACUCCUACGGGAGGCAGCAGUGGGGAAUAUUGCACAAUGGGCGAAAGCCUGAUGCAGCGACGCCGCGUGAGGGAUGACGGCCUUCGGGUUGUAAACCUCUUUCAGUAGGGAAGAAGCGCAAGUGACGGUACCUGCAGAAGAAGCGCCGGCUAACUACGUGCCAGCAGCCGCGGUAAUACGUAGGGCGCAAGCGUUGUCCGGAAUUAUUGGGCGUAAAGAGCUCGUAGGCGGUUUGUCGCGUCCGCUGUGAAAGCCCGGGGCUCAACCCCGGGUCGGCAGUGGGUACGGGCAGACUAGAGUGCAGUAGGGGAGACUGGAAUUCCUGGUGUAGCGGUGAAAUGCGCAGAUAUCAGGAGGAACACCGAUGGCGAAGGCAGGUCUCUGGGCUGUUACUGACGCUGAGGAGCGAAAGCAUGGGGAGCGAACAGGAUUAGAUACCCUGGUAGUCCAUGCCGUAAACGUUGGGCACUAGGUGUGGGGGACAUUCCACGUCCUCCGCGCCGUAGCUAACGCAUUAAGUGCCCCGCCUGGGGAGUAC